rnacentral:rRNA from 1 species
GUGGGGAAUAUUGGGCAAUGGGGGAAACCCUGACCCAGCGACGCCGCGUGAGGGAAGAAGGCCUUAGGGUCGUAAACCUCUGUUGUGUGGGAAGAAGAGCGUGACGGUACCACACGAGGAAGUCCCGGCUAACUACGUGCCAGCAGCCGCGGUAAUACGUAGGGGACGAGCGUUGUCCGGAUUUACUGGGCGUAAAGGGCGCGUAGGCGGUCAUUUAAGUCAGCUGUGAAAUGGUUUGGCUUAACCGGAUCAUGCGGUUGAAACUGGAUGACUGGAGUGCUGGAGAGGCAAGUGGAAUUCCCAGUGUAGCGGUGAAAUGCGUAGAUAUUGGGAAGAACACCGGUGGCGAAGGCGACUUGCUGGCCAGCAACUGACGCUGAGGCGCGAAAGUCAGGGGAGCAAACGGGAUUAGAAACCCCAGUAGUCC